AUUUAUGAAGUUUAAUAAAAAAUAUUUUAUUUUCAUUAAAAAGAUGGCUAAACUUAGCCCAUAAAUU
rnacentral:tRNA from 1 species